rnacentral:tRNA from 1 species
GGGGGUAUGGCUCAGUUGGUAGAGUAUUUGCCUUGUAUGCAUAAGGCCCUUGCUUCAAUUCCUAAUACCACAC